UACAGAGGUCUCAAGCGUUGUUCGGAUUCAUUGGGCGUAAAGGGUGCGUAGGCGGCGCGGUAAGUCGGGUGUGAAAUCUCGGAGCUUAACUCCGAAACUGCAUUCGAUACUGCCGUGCUUGAGGAGCUGGAGAGGAGACUGGAAUUUACGGUGUAGCGGUGAAAUGCGUAGAUAUCGUAAGGAAGACCAGUGGCGAAGGCGGGUCUCUGGACAGUUCCUGACGCUGAGGAGCGAAAGUGUGGGGAGCGAACAGG
rnacentral:rRNA from 1 species